GGCGGUGUCAACGAGUCAGACCUUCUGGCCUGAAAAGGUUGGGUAAACUGGUCAAUCACCGUCAUGACAGGGAUCGGGGCUUGGAAUUGUUCCCCGUGAACGAGGAAUUCCUAGUAAGUGCAAGUCAUAAGCUUGCGCUGAUUACGUCCCUGCCCUUUGUACACACCGCCCGUCGCUACUACCGAUUGAAUGGUUUAGUAAGGUCCUUGGAUUGGCGCUAAAUUAGGCUACACCGAAACGUGUAACCUUAGCCGGUGCCGAGAAGACGACCAAAC
rnacentral:rRNA from 2 species